GAACGAACGCUGGCGGCGUGGAUUAGGCAUGCAAGUCGAACGAGAAUCUGAUGGUUCAAGUUUUCGGACAAGAACUAUUGGAGGACAGUGGCGGAAGGGUGAGUACAACAUGGGUAAUCUAUCUUCAAGUUGGGUAUAACUUUCCGAAAGGGGAGAUAAUGCCGAAUGUGGUGAUCCGACGCCUGUCGGAGAUUCUAAAGGUGGGGACCGUAAGGCCUGCCGCUUGAAGCCGAGCCCGUGCACUAUCAGCUAGUUGGUAGGGUAAUGGCCUACCAAGGCAAUGACGGUUAGCUGGUCUGAGAGGAUGGUCAGCCACACUGGGACUGAGAUACUGCCCAGACUCCUACGGGAGGCUGCAGUCGAGAAUCAUUCGCAAUGGGCGAAAGCCUGACGGUGCGACGUCGCGUGGAGGAUGAAGGUCUUCGGAUUGUAAACUCCUGUCAUGUGGAAUAAAUGGCCCGGGCCCGAAUACGGCCUGGGAAUGAUCGUACCACAGGAGGAAGAGACGGCUAACUCUGUGCCAGCAGCCGCGGUAAUACAGAGGUCUCGAGCGUUGUUCGGAUUUACUGGGCGUAAAGGGAGCGUAGGCGGUUUGGUGUGUCGAAUGUGAAAGCCCACAACUCAACUGUGGAAAUGCAUUCGAAACUGCCGGACUAGAGUACUGGAGAGGAGAGCGGAAUUCUUGGUGUAGCGGUGAAAUGCGUAGAUAUCAAGAGGAACACCGGUGGCGAAGGCGGCUCUCUGGACAGAUACUGACGCUGAGGCUCUAAAGUUAGGGGAGCAAACAGGAUUAGAUACCCUGGUAGUCCUAACCAUAAACGGUGUACACUUGGUGUGCGAGGAAUUGUCCCUUUGCGCGCCGGAGCUAACGCGUUAAGUGUACCGCCUGGGGAGUACGGUCGCAAGAUUAAAACUCAAAGGAAUUGACGGGGACCCGCACAAGCGGUGGAGCAUGUGGCUUAAUUCGAUGCAACGCGAAGAACCUUACCAGGGUUUGACAUCCCCUGACAGGCAUGGAAACAUGUCCUCGUCCUUCGGGGCGCAGGGAGACAGGUGGUGCAUGGCUGUCGUCAGCUCGUGUCGUGAGAUGUUGGGUUAAGUCCCGCAACGAGCGCAACCCUUGUCCUAAGUUGCCAACGAGUAAAGUCGGGAACUCUUAGGAGACCGCCGGCGACAAGUCGGAGGAAGGUGGGGAUGACGUCAAGUCAUCAUGCCCUUUAUGCCCUGGGCGACACACGUGCUACAAUGGCCGGUACAGAGGGCGGCGAAAGCGCGAGCUGGAGCGAAUCCCCCAAAACCGGUCCCAGUUCGGAUCGCAGGCUGCAACUCGCCUGCGUGAAGUAGGAAUCGCUAGUAAUCACGGGUCAGCAUACCGUGGUGAAUACGUUCCCGGGCCU
rnacentral:rRNA from 1 species